rnacentral:rRNA from 1 species
GAUGAACGCUGGCGGCGUGCUUAACACAUGCAAGUCGAACGGUGAAAGAGAGCUUGCUCUCUGGAUCAGUGGCGAACGGGUGAGUAACACGUGAGCAAUCUGCCCCUGACUCUGGGAUAAGCGCUGGAAACGGCGUCUAAUACCGGAUACGAGCUGCGAAGGCAUCUUCAGCAGCUGGAAAGAACUUCGGUCAGGGAUGAGCUCGCGGCCUAUCAGCUAGUUGGUGAGGUAAUGGCUCACCAAGGCGUCGACGGGUAGCCGGCCUGAGAGGGUGACCGGCCACACUGGGACUGAGACACGGCCCAGACUCCUACGGGAGGCAGCAGUGGGGAAUAUUGCACAAUGGGCGCAAGCCUGAUGCAGCAACGCCGCGUGAGGGACGACGGCCUUCGGGUUGUAAACCUCUUUUAGCAGGGAAGAAGCGAAAGUGACGGUACCUGCAGAAAAAGCACCGGCUAACUACGUGCCAGCCGCCGCAGUAAUAC